ACCACGUCCGCCGCAAGCCGAAGGUUUCCUACGCAACGUUCUUCGUCGUAGGGUAAGUCGGGCCUAAGCUGAGGGCUAACGCCGUAAGCGAUGGACAGCCGGUUAGUAUUCCGGCACCGCUCUGCAUGCGUUAUCAACGCCGGGGGGACCCAGAGAGGUAAGCAAGGCGCCCCCAUUGGACAUGGGGCGUCCCCCUUCUUGUGCCAGGCUGCGAUUGGCAAAUCCGUCGUGGCCGUUACGAGCGAAGGAAGGGGGGAAGUUUCGGGGCGACCCGGGGCAACCCUGUUGAUCCUGGACUGGCAAGAAAAGCCUCGGCGUGAGUGUGCAGUGCGCCCGUACCGUAAACCGACACAGGUCGGCCGGGAUUAACGUCCCUAGGCGGUCGAGAGAACCCUUGGGAAGGAACUAGGCAAACGAGCCUCGUAACUUCGGGAUAAGAGGCGCCCUCCGGGGUGCAAGCUCUGGAGGGCCGCAGCGAAGCAGCUCGGGCGACUGUUUAACAAAAACACAGGUCUGUGCCAAAGCGUAAGCUGAGGUAUACGGGCCGACACCUGCCCAGUGCCGGAAGGUUAAGGGGAGGAGUUCGGGGGCAACCCCAAAGCUCUGAUCUGAAGCCCCGGUGAACGGCGGCCGUAACUCUAACGGUCCUAAGGUAGCGUAGCCCCUUGUCGGGUAAGUUCCGACCCGCAUGAAAGGUGGAACGACCUGAGCGCUGUCUCCCCGAGGGACUCGGCGAAAUCGAAGUAUCCGUGAAGAUGCGGAUUACCCGCAGCAGGACAAAAAGACCCCGUGAAGCUUUACUGUAUCUUGGCACUGCACCGGGGUGAGGGAUGCGUAGAAUAGGUGGGAGGCUUUGAAGGGGCGGUCUCGGCCGUCCUGGAGCCAACAGUGAAAUACCACUCUUCUUUUACUCUAGUGCUCACCGGCCCUGACACAGGUCUGGGACAGUGCUAGGGGGGCAGUUUGACUAGGGCGGUCGCCUCCCAAAAGGUAACGGAGGCGUCCCAAGGUCCCCACAGGGUGGAUGCUAUUCGCCCGUGGAGUGUAUGGGCAUAAGGGGGCCUGACUGUGAGGCCAACAAGCCGAGCAGGGGGGAAACCCGGGCCAAGUGAUCCUACGGUACCGCGUGGGCGGGCCGUGGCUUAUCGGAUAAAAGCUACUCCGGGGAUAACAGGCUGAUCGAGCCCAAGAGUUCAUAUCGACGGCUCGGUUUGGCACCUCGAUGUCGGCUCGUCGCAUCCUGGGGCUGCAGGAGGUCCCAAGGGUCCGGCUGUUCGCCGGUUAAAGCGGUACGCGAGCUGGGUUCAGAACGUCGUGAGACAGUUCGGUCUCUAUCCGCUGUGGGCGCAGGAAAGGUGAAGGGAGUCUUCUUUAGUACGAGAGGACCGAGAAGAACCGACCACUGGUGUGCCAGUUGUCCCGCCAGGGGCAUCGCUGGGUAGCCAUGUCGGGAAGCGAUAAGCGCUGAAGGCAUCUAAGCGCGAAGCGUACCCUGAGAUGACCUUUCCCACCGGGUUAACCGGGUAAGGCCGCAGGAAGACUACCUGCUUGAUAGGCGACAUGUGGAAGACGCGCAAGCGUCGGAGCUUAGUCGUACUAAUCGGCCGAGGGCUUGACCUA
rnacentral:rRNA from 1 species